AGUACAAGGUUUCGGUUAUAACCUAUAAAGCCCUAAACAGCUUGGGCCCUGGGUAUUUAAGAGAAUAUCUUCUUCAAUAUGAACCUCACCGCCCAUUGAGAUCAUCUGGAGAGCCACAGCUGGACUCCAAUGCCCAUCACCCUAUCGUCCAUCACAGCAGGGCAUGAUGGGAGCCACAACUGGGGACCCAAGUCUGAGAACCCCUAUCUUCUGGAAUUUAAAAGCUGUUGAAAUAAAACUCCUCCAGAUUCCCAUGAGAAGCUCUGCCUGGUUUCAAAACCUCUUCUCCAGCUCCCCAAAGAAACA